GUUGCGCAUGUGAUGAAUCUCAACACAUCAAAUGGGUAAUUUGCGUCUGAUAUUUUCAUUGAUGCGAUUCAUGUUGGAUUCUGAUGCCUUUC